CAUCACAUUAAAAACACUGGUUCCUGUAUGAUCCCCAAAGUUAAGCAACAUCAGACUUGGUCUGUACCUAGAUGGGUGAUCACUUGGGAAUACCAGGUGCUGUAAG